GGAAGGAUUGGGCCUUCUCAUGAUUUGCUGAUGGCUAGGCUCUGGUGACGGCCACAAGCCAUUAUGAGGGACUAGUGAGGAACUCCAAUGACAAGAAUCGAUGGUAGGGACAGUCGAAAAAGGAAAACAACAAUAAUAUUUAGAUUUGCAAUAGGGGAGAUUAUUCUUAUCUCAUUUUUCAACAAUUUCUUUCCUAUAGAUCUGACUAGCGAAGGCUCAAUCAAAGAGGGG
rnacentral:lncRNA from 1 species